rnacentral:rRNA from 1 species
GGAAGUAAAAGUCGUAACAAGGUCUCCGUUGGUGAACCAGCGGAGGGAUCAUUACCGAGUUUACAACUCCCAAACCCAAUGUGAACGUUACCAAACUGUUGCCUCGGCGGGAUCUCUGCCCCGGGUGCGUCGCAGCCCCGGACCAAGGCGCCCGCCGGAGGACCAACCAAAACUCUUUUGUAUACCCCCUCGCGGGUUUUUUUAUAUCUGAGCCAUCUCGGCGCCUCUCGUAGGCGUUUCGAAAAUGAAUCAAAACUUUCAACAACGGAUCUCUUGGUUCUGGCAUCGAUGAAGAACGCAGCGAAAUGCGAUAAGUAAUGUGAAUUGCAGAAUUCAGUGAAUCAUCGAAUCUUUGAACGCACAUUGCGCCCGCCAGUAUUCUGGCGGGCAUGCCUGUCCGAGCGUCAUUUCAACCCUCGAACCCCUCCGGGGGGUCGGCGUUGGGGAUCGGCCCUUUACGGGGCCGGCCCCGAAAUACAGUGGCGGUCUCGCCGCAGCCUCUCCUGCGCAGUAGUUUGCACACUCGCAUCGGGAGCGCGGCGCGUCCAUUGCCGUAAAACACCCAACUUUCUGAAAUGUUGACCUCGGAUCAGGUAGGAAUACCCGCUGAACUUAAGCAUAUCAAUAAGCGGAGGA